UAAAGUGGUACGCGAGCUGGGUUUAGAACGUCGUGAGACAGUUCGGUCCCUAUCUGCCGUGGGCGCUGGAGAAUUGAGGGGGGCUGCUCCUAGUACGAGAGGACCGGAGUGGACGCAUCACUGGUGUUCGGGUUGUCAUGCCAAUGGCACUGCCCGGUAGCUAAAUGCGGAAGAGAUAAGUGCUGAAAGCAUCUAAGCACGAAACUUGCCCCGAGAUGAGUUCUCCCUGACUCCUUGAGAGUCCUGAAGGAACGUUGAAGACGACGACGUUGAUAGGCCGGGUGUGUAAGCGCAGCGAUGCGUUGAGCUAACCGGUACUAAUGAACCGUGAGGCUUAACCUUACAACGCCGAAGGUGUUU
rnacentral:rRNA from 1 species